UACGGGGGGGGCAAGCGUUGUUCGGAAUUACUGGGCGUAAAGGGCUCGUAGGCGGCCAACUAAGUCAGACGUGAAAUCCCUCGGCUUAACCGGGGAACUGCGUCUGAUACUGGAUGGCUUGAAUCCGGGAGAGGGAUGCGGAAUUCCAGGUGUAGCGGUGAAAUGCGUAGAUAUCUGGAGGAACACCGGUGGCGAAGGCGGCAUCUGGACCGAGUUCGACGCUGAGGAACGAAAGCUAGGGGAGCGAAUGGG
rnacentral:rRNA from 1 species